UACGUAGGGUGCGAGCGUUAAUCGGAAUUACUGGGCGUAAAGCGUGCGCAGGCGGUUUUGUAAGCCAGAUGUGAAAGCCCCGGGCUUAACUUGGGAAUGGCCGUUGAAACUGGCGAACUGGAGUGUGGCAGAGGGGGGUGGAAUUCCGCGUGUAGCAGUGAAAUGCGUAGAGAUGCGGAGGAACACCGAUGGCGAAGGCAGCCCCCUGGGCUAACACUGACGCUCAGGCACGAAAGCGUGGGGAGCAAACAGG
rnacentral:rRNA from 1 species